UACGUAGGUGGCAAGCGUUGUCCGGAAUUAUUGGGCGUAAAGCGCGCGCAGGCGGUUCUUUAAGUCUGAUGUGAAAGCCCACGGCUCAACCGUGGAGGGUCAUUGGAAACUGGAGAACUUGAGUACAGAAGAGGAAAGCGGAAUUCCACGUGUAGCGGUGAAAUGCGUAGAGAUGUGGAGGAACACCAGUGGCGAAGGCGGCUUUCUGGUCUGUAACUGACGCUGAGGCGCGAAAAGCGUGGGGGAGGCAAAACAGGG
rnacentral:rRNA from 1 species